UACGUAGGCAGCGAGCGUUGUUCGGAUUUACUGGGCGUAAAGGGUGUGUAGGCGGUUGUUUAAGUUUGGGGUGAAAUCUCCCGGCUCAACUGGGAGGGUGCGCCGAAUACUGAAUGACUUCGAGUGCGGGAGAGGAAAGUGGAAUUCCUGGUGUAGCGGUGAAAUGCGUAGAUAUCAGGAGGAACACCGGUGGCGUAGACGGCUUUCUGGACCGUAACUGACGCUGAGACACGAAAGCGUGGGUAGCAAACAGG
rnacentral:rRNA from 1 species